GGCGCCCUUCUGUAGGCUACGAUGCUUCUUCUGAUUUCGGCUAGUUCUUUGUCACAUUUCUUUCUAACCACUUAUUUGAGGUGCAUGGGGAGCUAAAUGGAGCUGAAGUAUAGUAACUAGCUAGUCAUCUAACAAAUGGCGCAUAUAUGUUGGCGACUCUUAUUCAAGUUCAAGUUUGUGAAGAUUUGGAAAUUCUGGCUUAUAUAUAUGUUGAAAAUUUGUAUUUUGGAGGAUUAAAUUAAUUAUAUAACUUUUAUUUAUUAUUAGUAGGGUGUCAUACAAAAAACAAGCAACUAAUAUUUUAUAAUGUACGUAUUUAGCAUUAUAAUUAUUUUAUAUAAA